GCAGACAGGACUUUCCAAAACUGAUUACAACAAUAUUGCUGGCCUACAGUCUUUCCACCAAGAGUCUUCUUGAACCUGGUUGAGGAUCUGUGGAUACAGAUUCUGUGGGAAGAAUGAUGUAUAACCCAUGUAAAAGUGGGUGUCCUGGUUUGAUUUCUGUUGCUGUGAUAAUAAAUAAGCAACUUUGGGUAGGAAAGGACUUAUUUACUAAAGCUAAUCAACACAUAAGAUCACAAAAGGAGAGAGCUGCCUCCCAGAUCAUCUCUUGGAUGCUUAAGAACCCAGUCCCCCUUCCAAAAGUCCAAUCCAGCCUCGACAGCGACCCCGGCAGGGGACAGAACCGGGAUGUUAGCAUCUUCUGCCAGACACCAUCUGAGAUGCAUGACUUUCAAUAUGUCAGUUUCCCCUGAAGCGAUGAUGAUCAGGGAUCAGUCAUCCCUUUAUAGGAAAUUAACCGUUUUUAAAGGAGGCAGAUUUUAAAUAGUAUCAUGAAAUAAAAAAAUCCCCAAACUGCUUAUAAGUCAUGUCUUUCACGCAUUGGUCUUCCAUGUUAUGUUAAAAACCAGCAAGCAUCCAUUUUUCCAUGAAUGAUACAGAGCUACCGUUGCUUGUAACAAAUGACAAAGUUAACAACGAGUCAAGGGCAGGGGCUUUAAAGAGGUAAACAGACAGCAAUGGAUGCUGUUAUUUUGUCCUUCCUAGUCUACAGCUAAGACAACCAGAGGGUAGACUUAAAACUUUAGAAACUGUUAGUCACUGUCCCUCCCUGUCUUACUUAGGGUUUCCAUUGCUGUGAAGAGACAGACACCAUGUCCAAGGCAACUCUUAUAAGAACAUUUAACUGGGGCUGGCUUACUGGUUCUGAGGUUCCGCCCAUUAUCAUCAUGGUGGGAAGCGUGGCAGCUAUGGUUCUAAAGGAGCUGAGAGUUCUACAUCUUCAUCCAAGGGAAGCAGGAGAAGGCUUGCAGAUAGGAUGGGUGUCUUAAAGCCCAACUCCACAGUGAC
rnacentral:lncRNA from 1 species